GAGAGUGUAGACGCACACACGUACAGCUGAAGGGUCACCGAGUCAUCCAUCUUGAGAGUUCCAGUUUGUGAAACGGAUUCGGGGACCAAGACGAAGAUCAUUAUCAAGAUCCCUAUCCUUAAUCUCAUGCUGUUCAUUAUACAACGGCUACGAGUGAAGCCUGCGAAAGAAAAAAAUCAAGAUCUCUCCAUUGUUUAUCUUUGAAGCAACAAUAAUGAAGAUCCAGGCAAGAACAAUGGUAAUUGUGCUGGCUUUAAUAAUGCUGCUGAUGACGCCUUCCUCUACCUUGUUCUUCCGCAAGUUCUUCAGGCCACUGAGGAUAAGAGUCCACAGGCCAACGAGCUCGACCAAAUCUCACAGGUUCGGUCCAGGUCCCAUAGGAUUCAGAGGGAGACGCAGUAUAUGAUUCACAAAUCCUGUGGCCGAGGACACCUGAUGUUCCUUCCUUCUAGUUGUUAAAUGUAAAAAGUCUCUGGUUAGACAAACAAGUGAUAAGAAAAUUGUAAUGGCCUUUUCCAAUAAUGCUUGACACAUAUGGAAAAAUGAGGAAUGUAUGCCUUUGAAUGAUUAGCGAUGGGCUGAUAAAAUGCGCAAAGAAAUGGCAGACAUAUUAGUCCAUCAAAAAAGGAAAGUAUGUACAAUUAGUUGUAUCGUAUUGCUACAGAUGUAAAGAGAAUGUGUAUGUCAGUCAAAUUCUAAUAAAAGUCUUGUUCCUAAUUGUGUUUGUGUGGUGUGUGUGUGUGUGGGGGGGGGGUGUUAAAUAUGUCAGACUAAAAUAUAUGUAUAUGAAUAAAAGCUAUUUAUACUGAACGAAGAUAUUUGCCUUAUAUGUAUACAGUGUUGACGGAUCAUAUCAAAUGACAAUGUUAAUAACCACAGUACAACAGCUAAUAUGUGAUUUAUGCAGUGGAGGUUACUCUGACAUUUCCCUAAUAUCUUAAUUUGUAAAAACAUGGCGAAUUAUGUUGAUCAGCAAGGCAGUUUUUAUGUACCCUGGUGUUAAAGACGUAUAAUCUUAUCUAAGUUGCGAAGGUUCUUUGUCCUCACAAGAGUUCCAAAACACUCUAGUCACCAGUCAAUUAACACGAUUGCUUUGUUUAAAUAUAAACAUGGAGAACUAACCGUUUUAUUUUUUUAUAUCUGUCAAGGUUAACACGGUAACAGGGAACAAUGUUCAGGAAUUUGAAGGAACGCCCUUGGAGGUAAGGGUGAGUUUGAUGAGUCGGUGAAAUUCUUUUGUUAUCGAGUAUAAUGCACUUUUAUAUAAGGAGAUUACGUCUCCAGCCGACAUCAGGCUGCAUUUGACAAAAUUAUCUGUAUCUAGCUUUUAUCUUUAUUAGUUCCAUAUGGAUGUGUAUAUGUGGAAUGAAGUAGAUAAUAAAUAUAAAGAUCCCUUGUGAA